rnacentral:rRNA from 1 species
GGCACUUUCAGUGUCCGAGUUGUAAUCUCUAGAAGUGUUUUCCGCAUUGGACCGCACACAAGUCUGUUGGAAUACAGCGGCACAGUGGUGAGACCCCCGUAUACGGUGCGGAUGCCCAAUGCUUUGUGAUACACUUUCGAAGAGUCGAGUUGUUUGGGAAUGCAGCUCAAAUUGGGUGGUAAAUUCCAUCUAAAGCUAAAUAUUGGCGAGAGACCGAUAGCGAACAAGUACCGUGAGGGAAAGAUGAAAAGCACUUUGGAAAGAGAGUUAACAGUACGUGAAAUUGUUGGAAGGGAAACGCUUGAAGUCAGACUUGCUAUUCGGGGCUUGCUCCGAGUUGCAGGCCAGCAUCAGUUUUCUGGGGUGGAAAAUCACGGUUAGAAGGUAGCAACUUCGGUUGUGUUAUAGCUUUCCGUUGGAUACAUCCUGGGGGACUGAGGAACGCAGUGUGCUUUUAGCAGGAGCUUCGGCUUCAUCACA